rnacentral:ncRNA from 1 species
CAUACAGCGCCAGACCGGAUUCCGCAUAUGGUUAACGAGGUGGAAAGUGAUCGAGUUUUUCGGCGGGUGCUUUCCCGGCUUUGGGCAGGUCGUAAAAUCGUAUACAAAGCAUUUGGGCAACCGAAUGUACAAAAAUGCGGUUA